rnacentral:tRNA from 1 species
GGGGAGAUUCCAGAGCGGCCAAAUGGGACGGACUGUAAAUCCGUUGCGAGAGCUUCGAAGGUUCGAAUCCUUCUCUCCCCA